rnacentral:rRNA from 1 species
CUCCCAAACCCCUGUGAACAUACCUAUCGUUGCCUCGGCGAGAGUAGCCCCAGGCGUUGGCGCAAGCCUUCGCCCUGGUAUCAGGCGCUCGCCGGAGGACCCAACUAAACUCUUGUAUUCUAAAGAAUCUUCUGAGUAACCAAAACAAAUAAAUUAAAACUUUUAACAACGGAUCUCUUGGUUCUGGCAUCGAUGAAGAACGCAGCGAAAUGCGAUAAGUAAUGUGAAUUGCAGAAUUCAUUGAAUCAUCCAAUCUUUGAACGCACAUUGCGCCCACUAUUAUUCUGGUGGGCAUGCCUGUUCGAGCGUCAUUUCAACCCUCAAGCUCUGCUUGGUGUUGGGGAUCGGCGUCUCGGCCUUCGGGCUGCUGUCGGGGCGGGGAUCUAGUGGCGGUCCCGCUGUAGCCUCCUCUGCGAACUACUUUUCUCCUCGCACUGGCAGCUUACUGGGGACGUCCCCGCAGAACCCCCCACUUCUGAAACGUUGACCUCUUCUCAGGUAAGAAUACCCGC